rnacentral:rRNA from 1 species
GACAGAGGCCUCGAGCGUUAGGCGGAAUCACUGGGCUUAAAGCGUGUGUAGGCGGACCCCUAAGUGUCUUGUGAAAUCCCACGGCUCACCCGUGGAACCGCUGGGCAUACUGGGGGUCUUGGGCCAUUCAGGGGCAACUGGAACAAGCGGUGGAGCGGUGAAAUGCGUAGAUAUCGCUUGGAACGCCGACGGUGAAAACAGGUUGCUGGGAAUGUGCCGACGCUGAGACACGAAAGCCAGGGGAGCAAACGGG